GACGAACGCUGGCGGCGUGCCUAAUACAUGCAAGUAGAACGCACAGUUUAUACCGUAGCUUGCUACACCAUAGACUGUGAGUUGCGAACGGGUGAGUAACGCGUAGGUAACCUGCCUGGUAGCGGGGGAUAACUAUUGGAAACGAUAGCUAAUACCGCAUAAUAUUGAUUAUUGCAUGAUAAUUGAUUGAAAGAUGCUAUUGCAUCACUACCAGAUGGACCUGCGUUGUAUUAGCUAGUAGGUGAGGUAACGGCUCACCUAGGCGACGAUACAUAGCCGACCUGAGAGGGUGAUCGGCCACACUGGGACUGAGACACGGCCCAGACUCCUACGGGAGGCAGCAGUAGGGAAUCUUCGGCAAUGGACGAAAGUCUGACCGAGCAACGCCGCGUGAGGGAAGAAGGUUUUCGGAUCGUAAAGCUCGGUUGUAAGAGAAGAACGGGUGUGAGAGUGGAAAGUUCACACUGUGACGGUAUCUUACCAGAAAGGGACGGCUAACUACGUG
rnacentral:rRNA from 1 species